GGACGGCUACGUGCGGCGCCGCCGCCGCGCCCCGCCCGCCGUGCGGGGCCGCCCCUGCCGGGGCCGGGCUUCGCUCCCGGCCGGGCCGAGGGAACCCACCGACACCGCUGGCCCGCGCCGGGGUCCGGCCGCGGGGCACAGAGCUCGAAACGCUAUCGUCGAAGGCGCUCUGCUGUUAUGUUUUCCACUGAAUCCUAAAUGCCUAAUCCAUAAGCAACAAACUUUCUAAGAGAGUUAAUCUGCUUAUAGGGGGUGGAUGUGGGGGAGAAAAUGAGAAGAACUGAAUAACCAAGAGCAAAAUAAAUAUUGUCUGCAGUAUCAGCAACCUCAGGUGUUCAGAGCCAUUAGCGAAGCUCUAAGAAUCAUGUCAUUGGAACUCUCAGCAUAAAUAUGGGCUGAUGUCUUCUGCUUAGCACCUGGGGAGAGAACCAUCCCAGGGGAGUGAGCAAGCUCCAGGAUUCAUCUGUCUUCUGCCCCUCCCUCAAGCCAGAGAGCUUCUGUCUCUGAGAAUAUCUCCGAGAAUGUGCUCUGGGAUAAGGCUGAUGGUAGUUACCAAAAGCAUUUCUGGGUCUAAUAUUCUCACUAAUGGGGAAAGGGUAUAUUUGCUCUGUAACUUUAAACUGUAUAGCUUUUCAGUAAGUAUGAAAUAGCUUUAAAUAGAAAAAUCAAAUAGAGUUCACCGUUACAGCAGGUCCUGUGGUUGGUUUUGUUGCUUCACCUACAGCUGCCAUCUGUGAAGGCAUGUGUCUGAGCCAUGUGAUGAUGAAAGAUUCUGCUGUAGGCAAGCAAGUUUUUGUCCUUCCUCUUGGAACAGAAGAGCUUAGUUAUGUGAAUCCUAAAGCCUUAGAAAACCAGAGAAGUAGAGAAGAUGCAUUUGUUUUCUGAUACAGAUAACCCCUUGAUUCAAACCCCUCUAUCUUUGAUACUAAUGCUCUAAGCCCUCAAAAACUUUUGCAUCUCUUAACUUCACUGCUGCAAUGACUUUUAUAAUCACUCAAUGCACAGAACUAACACAAACAUGUUAAAGUGUCUGUAGGAUUGUGACCAAAGUACAUUUAGAUAUCUUCUGCCCCCUGUCUGCUAAUUAGGAUUGGGUAGCUCUAUUGUGAACCAUGCUCCACAAGCAGAUUAAUAUUUCAAAGGACAUCAUCAGUCUUCUUCUCCAAAAUCUGGUGAUUUCCAGAACUCGGAAAUCACUUUAUCACUUUGGCAAUCUGUACCCAAAAAUAACUAUAAAGAGACAGAGCUUUGUUCCGCAAGGACAUUUAUUUCUGGGAUGAUAAGGAAAAAGACCUUUCUUACCUUAGGUGAGAGAUGAGAGUAGAAUUUCAUUAAUUCAUUGGGAUGCACAUAGCUAGGACUGAACUAGUUACACAGAAGUUGUCAAAGCCUUUGUAAACUCUUUCUUAAACCUUUACAUUAUAUCUACAGAAAGUUCAUUUGUGGAAUGAAUUACAAUGAAGUGGAAUGAAUCUAGAAUGAACUGGAGUUAUGCACUGAAGCUAUCCACAGAAGACUUUCUGGGUUUUUUUUGGAGUUAGCACACUCAUCAUGUAUGUAAAGUACACAGCUGCUGAUUAGAAGAUUGCAAAAGGGAUGCAGAAAGUCUUUUUAAACAUAUAGAAUGAAAUAGUGUGAGUGGCAUUUUGUGAUUUGUUUUCCAAUUAGGAACGACAUUUAAUUUUAAGAGUUGAGCUGUUUUUAAGAUAACAUUUUGUUGGUUCAGGUGCAUAUGCCUCUUACUAUGAUUACUGAUUGUAAUUCUCGGGAUUUUAGGCAGAGAGAAGGCCACAUGGUCCCUUGUGUCUCUUUUCAAUAGUCUCAAUUUUAAUGUGUGAGACUACGCUUAAUGUACAGAAACACAACCCCAAAUUUAUUUUUGGUUCCAGUUUUUAUGUAUUCCUAGAUUAUUAAGGAAAAUGUAGGUUUUAGAUCUUCACUGACUCCACUAGUAUUGGAAGUAGACCUUUCUCUUCAAGAAGACAAAGGGAAAACAGAGCUUGUUAUGCAGACUAUAAACUGUCCUUAAGUCAGUUUUGAGUUAUACAGGCAUUAGCAUUAAUUUGAGUUUUUUAUAUUGAAAUCCUAUGGUUGAACUAAUAAAAUGUACUUUUUUCAUAAUAAAUAUUUUAAGUUGUUUAGCUAAAAAAGGCAAAAAUAACAAGGAAAAUUCACUUUUUUUAAGUAUCCUAACUGUAUGAAAUGCUUCACAGAAAUAAGUAAAACUACAUCUACACUGGUAACUUGCAAAUAAGAGGCUGCAGCAAUGGCUACACACUCACAAUUAACCUGACACAAACUGACUGUCUCCUUCUGUGUCCAGCUGCUCACUCCCAUCAUCUUUCUUAGUGCUGGUACAAGCACAGAGGCUUUCGAGCAGCCACAGUCAGGCAUGUCAAGCAGCACAUGCACCCAUUUUUGCAUGUAAUCUGCAGGAUUUAAUCAAAUUAAACAGAUUGUAUAAUCAUGACCUGAUUCUGCAAAACUGUAAUUUGAAGUUUUGCAUCUUAAAGAACUACACAUAUUAAUCAUGUUAUAGCUUAUAUGAUGCUAUGCACAAAACAGGAGACCUAUGGCAAAGAAAUCUAUUUCCACUUCAGUAGGGUGCAGCUGACAGGAGUACUGUGGAAAACUGUGAGGAGGGAAUUAGUAGGUCGGAUGUGUGCUUUUUAUAUAAUAUCAAAAAUAGGUGUGCCACGAAGUAAAAAGAGGAAGGAUAAGGAACCAGAUUAUUUCCUGUUUUGCUUUUAGAAAAUUGUUUACUUUGAAAUGCUUGCAUGUCUUUAAAAAAUGCUUUAAGCAAACUGCCUAGAUUAAAUCAAAACAAUAAUUAUGAUUUCAUGAGUUAUUCUGUAUCUUUUAGUACUGAGGCUUUGAUCUCUGACAUGCUGUAUUAUAUUAGUGCUUAUUACAGACCACCAUGUUACUUGACAAAUAGGGAAUCUUUCCUUACGCUGGGACUUGCAUAUACUCAAAGUAUCUUGCUGGGACUAUAAAAAUUAUCUUUUUUUUUUUCUAUAUAAGCUUAAUGCUAUAGUUCAAUUUUGUUUUUCAUGAGCAACAGGGAAAUUUUCCAAACCAAAUAGAGUGCCAGCCUUUCUUUAUGUACUUGCUGUUGUAUAACAUGCAGAUUACUGCUGAAGGGUGUGUUUCAAAUUGUAGUUUCAAAUUUGUUUUUAUAAGAUAACAAAAUUGCCUGUGUGGGCGCAAAUGUAUGUGUGUGACUGCUGUAUGCAUGCACGCAUGCAUGUUUAUCUCUCAGUUUUCCAUUAAUGCCUUCGAGCCCUUUGGCUAAUUCCAACAAAAUUAACUUAGGACUGUAGCUCUAAAAAUAAUUAUGUUCCUACAAGGCUUGGAAAAUGGCCAAGUAAAAUAAGGAAAUCUUAUCAGUGUACUGGUUAAAGGAAAAGUUGUCAUGUAAGUGCAUACAUUAUUAGAUAGUAGAGAAUCCACCUUGAGGACACCCUGUAUAAAUAUCUCAUAUGUGGAAAAGAGGGACUUUCUUGGCUUAUGCCUAAACUGGAUGAUGCGUGUUAAAAUAAAUUCAAUAUGCGCAGCUA